rnacentral:rRNA from 1 species
UACGUAGGGGGCAAGCGUUGUCCGGAAUCAUUGGGCGUAAAGCGCGCGUAGGCGGCCCGGUAAGUCCGUUGUAAAAGUCAAAGGCUCAACCUUUGAAAGCCGAUGGAUACUGCCGGGCUAGAAUCCGGAAGAGGCGAGUGGAAUUCCUGGUGUAGCGGUGGAAUGCGCAGAUAUCAGGAGGAACACCAACAGCGAAGGCAGCUCGCUGGGACGGUACUGACGCUGAGACGCGAAAGCGUGGGGAGCGAACAGG